UAAGAGCUUUCUUUACCAUGCCAUCAGUGCUGGGCUGUUUGUUGUUUUAAAUUUAUAUGAACGUAGUUUCCCUAUCUGGAAUGAUGAAUCUCACUGUGAAUAGAACUUAGAAGCAAUUCUGCAGGAUGCAUGCUUCUGCCGGGACACGGAGCCUACUGGGUUUGCAGCGUGGGACCUGACAGCUAUUCUAAGGCUGCUCAAUACCAAGCAAGUCCCCCCAAAUCCUGGUUCCAGUGGAACAUCCUCUGCAAAGGCUGCAGGGGACCCUCUCUGGACCUGCUCUGUGUCCCCUGUAGUGACGGAGUGAGUGACAGUCUCUAGAACAGACCUGGAGCCCGGUGUAGCCCUGGGGCUGUGGUGACUGGCACAGGUGGAGUCUACACGUCGCGGUGUCUCCUGAGCCUGGCCUGGGUGGAUGGGCCUCGUUCUGCCCAUUCUGUUGUCUCUAGAAGGAGAUCUGUUCUUGAACGUGAAUUUUAUGCUCAUGGAGUGCAGGACAGGGUGACCUUCUGUCCCACAGACCCUGACACUGAGGCUUCCUGUGUCAGUCUGGACUGUGCCCAGGACCCUGGAACAGAAGAGGUGGAGACACAGAGAGAAGAAUUUCCUGAGAAGCUGCAGAACCUAUCAUUUCAUCCUGUGUGUUCAAGUGUCUAGAGCUGUGUAACCUCUGAGCUCUCAGUAAUACCCUCGGUCAAUUUCUGUUUGUCUGACGAGCAGCAACCGCAGCAGCACACGGAGCUUGUAGACGCUGGUGCGUCUGUGGCUGCCUUCCGGGCGCGGUCAGCCCUCCACGUCCAGGUCUCCACAUCCAGGGAUCUAAUCAGCCACAGUGAAAAAGUGUUUGACAAAACAAUGAAGACGCACAGCCGUGCACAGUAGUACACGUGGAAUACAGCAGGACAGCGGUGAGCGCAGAGUCUACGCGGGAUGAGGUAACACAGUUACAGCACACUGGAUUCCGGGCUCUCUGGACCAGUUCUUCACACAUCACCCACCAUUCCCGCAACUACCAGCCUCAGGCACACAGAGGAUUCAGUUCAGAUGCGUCCCUUCCCUAUUUUUCUUUGUGUGGUCUCAAUUAGGGCCGUCCUGAGAGUUCAGGCGUCUGGUCCUGUGAUCCAGGAUGUUAUGAUCAUAUCUGCACCCAGGCUCGGUUACAAGCAGGCUCAUGACUUGGUCCCCAUCCGGGUCACUCACUGAACACCUCUGUGGUGUAGCCAGCAGCUGUACUGAGUCCUCUGGCUGGAGCCUGAGAGGGACAGGACAGCUCCAUCCCCAGCAGGGAUCCUGGUGACCGGCUGGGAGCCCAGUGGUGUUUCUUCUUUGUAUCAUGAAUCAGAGUUUGGGGGCUUGUCCAGACUUCUGGUGGACACAGGUGGACAGGGACUGCUGGUCGCCUCUCCAGGGCUAGAGCUGCAGGCCUUGCUAAGCUCAGAGCAAGUCCCCAGGACCCCUUGGUGACAUCCUCAGGAGAAUGUGACUGGGCUGAUUAUCAGGAGCUAAAUGUAGCCCUUUCUUUCUUUGAACAAAUAAAAAUUAUUUAACAAUUUCCACUGAAUUUUUCCCCAAGUCAAACCCAUUUAUAGCUUUUCACUUCGUCACUCCCUUAUUUUCACAUUAUUCUCCUGUCCUGUGGAGCGACUUCCCCCAUGACAAACAAUCAGAUGUUACCAGUUCCUGAGUCCCUCCUGAACUUUCUUUGUAAAAUUCCGUCUAUUCUUUUUUUCAGGUUUUUUAAAAUUUAUAUUUGGUGUGAUUUUUAUAAUUUUCAUUUUUUUCUGAUAGUUUCCCCUUUUCCAUUUGUUUAAAAAGUUUUAAUAGUUGAAAAUCUGUCGGAUAA